GAUGAACGCUGGCGGCGUGCCUAACACAUGCAAGUCGAACGAAGCACCUUACCUGAUUCUUCGGAUGAAAGUUUGGUGACUGAGUGGCGGACGGGUGAGUAACGCGUGGGUAACCUGCCCUGUACAGGGGGAUAACAGCUGGAAACGGCUGCUAAUACCGCAUAAGCGCACGAGGAGACAUCUCCUUGUGUGAAAAACUCCGGUGGUACAGGAUGGGCCCGCGUCUGAUUAGCUGGUUGGCAGGGUAACGGCCUACCAAGGCAACGAUCAGUAGCCGGUCUGAGAGGAUGAACGGCCACAUUGGAACUGAGACACGGUCCAAACUCCUACGGGAGGCAGCAGUGGGGAAUAUUGCACAAUGGGGGAAACCCUGAUGCAGCAACGCCGCGUGAGUGAAGAAGUAUUUCGGUAUGUAAAGCUCUAUCAGAAGGGAAGAUAAUGACGGUACCUGACUAAGAAGCUCCGGCUAAAUACGUG
rnacentral:rRNA from 1 species